UACAAGUAGCCCAACUUGCGUUACCAAUUUAUGGUAACUAAUCCUUCCGUUGGAGUUUACCGUUGGUAUUCCGACCACACGACUACAUGAGCCAGCAAAAAUAGCCGUUUGGCGGCACCCAGCAGCUUAUAUAUAGGGCUCGCGCUUGUCUUCUCACUUUCCAAAAGUUCAAAACAGAGAGAGGGGGAGAUAGAGGGCAGAGAAAUCAGAAAAUUGGGGGACGAAUUUGAUUUUUGCUUAGAGAAUUGCUUUCUUUUCCAGCGAUGAAGACAGAUUUUUGAGGAGCAGCGCUUUCAGAUGAGUGUUAUUUCUUUGCUGUUUCUUUGUUUUUCCCCCCUUCUUGGGGAUGAGGUUCUUCCGGUUCCGUGCUUUCUUGUUGCAUAUAACUGAUUUAUCUUCUUCAAGUUCCCUGCUUUCUUGUUGCAUAUAACCGAUUUAUCUGUUAUUUGCUCUCAAUUAUGACUUAAAGCCAAAUUAUGUGUGAAUUUGUCCCUGUGCAUGGGUUUUCAUAUAGUGGCUGAAGACCUAGAUUUAUCAAUUCUUGCUUCCAGUUGAGUCCCGAUGGUGUGGAUUGUUGUUUCCUUUAAUUUUUUGAGGCUGGUUUUACAUGUUAGAAACUGAAGGUUAAUUUUUCUGUCCGCCUCUCUAUUUUGAUCUAUUUUAAGGGAGAUCUAGACAUUCUUUGUUUUAUGUUGAAGCGCUUUGAAAAUAAAAAAGUAAAGACAAAAAGGAAUCGAAUACCAGUUAUUUUUAUAGAAGUUAAAUGGCGUAAAAUUGAUUAUCAUUAUUUGCACAUGUUUAUAUCAGACUUGAAACCUACUCUGAUAAAGAAAAAAAAAAUGAAAAGAAGCCAGUAGAUGAUUGACUAGAUAUUUUGCCCUUAGAUAGGUGAUUGCAUCACAAACUCCUGGUAGUUUGAAUACUAUUCCAUCUGUCCUUUAUGGCUUAUUUUAUCUGCUCGUAUGCCUAUUCAUUCGAUGGGUUAUGGGUACUUUUUUUUGUAAGCCGCAAAGGGAUAGAAGGUAUAUGUUUAAACCACAUGGAGUUUUUGAGUCAUGCAACUAGAUUAUGCAGGGCAAAAAUAUUAGUGAAUACUUCUUGCUUCCAAUUGAGUUCUGAUGGUGUCGAUUGUUGUUUCCUUUAAUUUUUUAAGGCUGGUUUUUACAUGUUAGAAACUGAAGGUCUUAAGAAUUUUUCUGUCUGCCUCUCUAUUUUGUUGUAUUUUAAGGGAGAUCUAGACAUUCUUUGUUUUAUGUUGAAGCACUUUGAAAAUCAAAAAAUAAAGACAAAAUGGAAUCGAAUACCAGUUAUUUUUAUGGAAGUUACAUAGCAUAAAAUUGAUUACCAGUUACUUUCACAUGUUUAUAUCAUGCAUGGUACCUACUCUGAUAAAGAAAAAAAAAUGAAAAGAAGCCAGUAGAUGAUUGACUAGAUAUUUUGCCCUUAGAUAAUAUAGGUGAUUGAAUCACAAACUCCUGGUAGUUUGAAUACUAUUCCAUCUGUCCUUUAUGGCUUAUUUUAUCUGCUCAUAUGCCUAUUCAUUCGAUGGGUUAUGGGUACUUUUUUUGUAAGCCACAAAGGGAUAGAAGGUAUAUGUGUAAACCACAUGGAGUUUUUGAGUCAUGCAACUAGAUUAUCCAGGGCAAAAUAUUAGUGAAUUGCUUACUUUUAGCACUUUGAUUUAGUUUACUUUAGAUUUUCUGUCAUGCGGUCUGUUUACACUGUUGAAUUAUACAAUUUAUCUUUUCUUGCUUGUUUUUGCACCAGCUGUCCUUAGUUAUGCUAGAAAUACUUACUGAAAGACAUCUAGCUUAGUUUCAGUUAUGCUGCCCAGGCAUGUUCUGUAGUAAUUUGUCUAUUGAAUGAUGGUAUUCACUUAGAUGGAAAUUCUCAAAAAAAAGAGAAAAGAAAAUGGACUUGUCUCAGUUACUAAAGACUUAGAAUUGAUUGCUGAUAGUUUCUUUAGUUGUUGAAUGGCAAUAAAUUGUUGCUUUCCCUCAUUUAGGCUUUGAUUUUUCACUCGUGAGAAUAUGGAUGAUCCACUUUUGGUUUCUUUAUAUACCAUCAGCCUUCCGUUUGAGGCACAGGUACUCUUUUGUAAGUUACAAGAGUCAGAAAAUAUGUUGUUUAAAUGUAAGAGGUCGAGUUGUCUCCUAUGGCAAAAAUAACUUACCAAACUGCAACUUUCUUGUCCAAUUCCCGUACUUCACUAUCAUUUCAUCUUCAUAUUGGUUUUUCCCAUUGUUGGUUUUGCAGGAUACUAUUUACCAGUAAACAGUGUCUCUACUUGUUUUUGUCUUCCCUCUUUUAUCAAUGAGGAACUCCCGAAUGAAAGUCCUGCCUAUCUUAAGCGAAUGGUUUCUUUUCCCUCCAGAGAAGAAUCUUAUUUACCUACUCCAAAUUAGUGGACAAUGAAAAGACACUGGAUGAGUUCUAACAAAAGCUUGCGUUAUUAGUUGACCACUUUUCCAUUUUGAGAAAUGCUGAGCUUUUCCUCCCAGGUUUUCCUGUUUGAAUAUGUUGAGUUGGGGGAUUCGUGAAGGGCGUAGACUAAAGAUGUAUCAUUGUAUUUUAUCACUUGUAGUUGCCAACAUAAGUUAAUUUAAUUGUUAAGGAUAAGUUAUUUUCUUAUAAAAGGUCAUGUGUUUGAAUUUCGCUCUCAAUACGAAAGCCGUGUUAAUGGCUAUCUAUGAAAAUCUUUGUAAGUAACCUAUGAAUGCUUAUGAGCAUGCCCUUCCAUGUGCGAAAA